rnacentral:rRNA from 1 species
AUUGAACGCUGGCGGCAUGCCUUACACAUGCAAGUCGAACGGUAGAGGGGGCAACCCCUUGAGAGUGGCGAACGGGUGAGUAAUGCAUCGGAACGUGCCCAGUCGUGGGGGAUAACGCAGCGAAAGCUGUGCUAAUGCCGCAUACGAUCUCUGGAUGAAAGCGGGGGACCGAAAGGUCUCGCGCGAUUGGAGCGGCCGAUGUCAGAUUAGGUAGUUGGUGGGGUAAAGGCACACCAAGCCAACGAUCUGUAGCUGGUCUGAGAGGACGACCAGCCACACUGGGACUGAGACACGGCCCAGACUCCUACGGGAGGCAGCAGUGGGGAAUUUUGGACAAUGGGCGCAAGCCUGAUCCAGCAAUGCCGCGUGCAGGAAGAAGGCCUUCGGGUUGUAAACUGCUUUUGUACGGAACGAAAAGGUCUGGGUUAAUACCCUGGGCACAUGACGGUACCGUAAGAAUAAGCACCGGCUAACUACGUGCCAGCAGCCGCCGCAG